UACGUAGGGUGCGAGCGUUGUCCGGAAUUACUGGGCGUAAAGAGCUCGUAGGUGGUUUGUCGCGUUGUUCGUGAAAACUCACAGCUUAACUGUGGGCGUGCGGGCGAUACGGGCAGACUGGAGUACUGCAGGGGAGACUGGAAUUCCUGGUGUAGCGGUGAAAUGCGCAGAUAUCAGGAAGAACACCCGUGGCGAAGGCGGCUCUCUGGGACGGUACUGACGCUGAGACGCGAAAGCGUGGGGAGCGAACAGG
rnacentral:rRNA from 1 species